UACGGAGGGUGCAAGCGUUAAUCGGAAUUACUGGGCGUAAAGGGCGCGUAGGUUGUUGAGUAAGUUGGCUGUGAAAGCCCCGGGCUUAACCUGGGAAGGCCAGUCAAAACUGCUUAACUAGAGUGCAGUAGAGGGUAGUGGAAUUUCAGGUGUAGCGGUGAAAUGCGUAGAGAUCUGAAGGAACACCAGUGGCGAAGGCGGCUACCUGGACUGACACUGACACUGAGGCGCGAAAGCGUGGGUAGCGAACAGG
rnacentral:misc_RNA from 1 species